UUGAACGCUGGCGGCAUGCUUUACACAUGCAAGUCGAACGGCAGCACGGGGGCAACCCUGGUGGCGAGUGGCGAACGGGUGAGUAAUACAUCGGAACGUGUCUUCAAGUGGGGGAUAACGCAGCGAAAGCUGUGCUAAUACCGCAUAAUCUCUGAGGAGAAAAGCAGGGGAUCGCAAGACCUUGCGCUUUUGGAGCGGCCGAUGUCUGAUUAGCUAGUUGGUGAGGUAAAGGCUCACCAAGGCAUCGAUCAGUAGCUGGUCUGAGAGGACGACCAGCCACACUGGAACUGAGACACGGUCCAGACUCCUACGGGAGGCAGCAGUGGGGAAUUUUGGACAAUGGGGGCAACCCUGAUCCAGCCAUGCCGCGUGAGUGAAGAAGGCCUUCGGGUUGUAAAGCUCUUUCAGCCGGAACGAAACGGUCACGGCCAAUACUCGUGACUAAUGACGGUACCGGAAGAAGAAGCACCGGCUAACUACGU
rnacentral:rRNA from 1 species